rnacentral:rRNA from 1 species
CUGACCUGCCCUAUGAUUUAUUAAAAUUGAAUGGCCGCGAUAAUUUGAUCGUGCAAAGGUAGCAUAAUAAUUAGUUUCUUAAUUAGGAACUGGAAUGAAAGGUUGAACGAAAAAAAUACUGUCUCAAUUUAAUUUUAAUUAGAAUUUUAUUUUUAAGUUAAAAAGCUUAAAUAAUUUUAAAAGACGAGAAGACCCUAUAGAGGUUUAUAUUUAUUAUUUAUUUUUAAUUUAAGUAUUUUAUUUAAGAAUAAUUUAAUAAAUAUUUGGUUGGGGUGAUUGAAAAAUUAAAUAAACUUUUUUUAUUUAUAUAACAUUGAUAUAUGAAAAAUUGAUCCAUAGUUUUAUGAUUAAAAGAUUAAAUUACCUUAGGGAUAACAGCGUAAUUUUUUUUGAGAGUUCUUAUCGAAAAAAAAGUUUGCGACCUCGA